rnacentral:lncRNA from 1 species
GGGGCACACAGUGUGGGCCAUGAGAGAGGCCCACCUGAGCCAGCCACUCAGGCUGGAAACCACUCCCUGAGGCCAGGGAACAGCACCUAACUGUUUUCCAGAGUGGCUGCAUUGUUUUACUUCCCACCGGGAGCGCUCGAGGGCUCCCACCCUGGGCCAACAUUCAGCAGGGCAGGGCGUGCACGGGAUUUGAGCUCUGGAACCAUCUCUAUGGCCAUGCUGUGGACACCAGGCUGGGAGGAAGUGAGACCAGUUGUCGAGGACGAGCUCUAAUCAGAAGAGGGGGUUUAACUUCUUGCUGCUGGCCAUGGGGAGCCACAGAAGGUUCUGGAGAGAUCACAUGUGGCUGAGAAAGUGGUAAAUGAGUGCAUCUGACCUGGCAGUUGGGAGCUUCUGAGAAAGGCCCAGCCCCCGGCUGUGGCGGUGCUGAGAACUCGGUGACUGGCUGCAUCUGAGAUGCUGGCUGUUUCGUCUCUCCGGGCUGGUGAGCAAUGGACAAGCAGAGCCCCGCCCAGCCACGAUGGGUGCGGAGCAUAAGCCAAUUAAGCAAGACAUAAAUUC